rnacentral:rRNA from 1 species
AACACAUGCAAGUCGAACGGGCGUAGCAAUACGUCAGCGGCAGACGGGUGAGAAACGCGUGGGAACGUACCUUUUGAUUCGGAACAACACAGGGAAACUUGUGCUAAUACCGGAUAAGCCCUUACGGGGAAAGAUUUAUCGCCGAAAGAUCGGCCCGCGUCUGAUUAGCUAGUUGGUGAGGUAACGGCUCACCAGGGCGACGAUCAGUAGCUGGUCUGAGAGGAUGAUCAGCCACAUUGGGACUGAGACACGGCCCAAACUCCUACGGGAGGCAGCAGUGGGGAAUAUUGGACAAUGGGCGCAAGCCUGAUCCAGCCAUGCCGCGUGAGUGAUGAAGGCCCUAGGGUUGUAAAGCUCUUUUGUGCGGGAAGAUAAUGGCGGUACCGCAAGAAUAAGCCCCGGCUAACUUCGUGCCAGCCGCCGCGGUAAUUC